rnacentral:rRNA from 1 species
UACGAAGGGUGCAAACGUUGCUCGGAAUUAUUGGGCGUAAAGCGCACGUAGGCGGCUUGGCAAGUCGGAUGUGAAAUCCCUCGGCUCAACCAAGGAAGUGCAUCCGAAACUGCUGAGCUUGAGUACGAAAGAGGAUCGCGGAAUUCCCGGUGUAGAGGUGAAAUUCGUAGAUAUCAAGCGGAACACCGGUGGCGAAGGCGGCCUUCUGGACAGUGACUGACGCUGAGACGCGAAAGCGUGGGGAGCAAACAGG